CGAGCGCAACCCUUAUUAUCAGUUGCCAGCAUGGGCACUCUGGUGAGACUGCCGGUGACAAACCGGAGGAAGGUGGGGAUGACGUCAAAUCAUCAUGCCCCUUAUGACCUGGGCUACACACGUGCUACAAUGGAUGGUACAACGAGUUGCGAACUCGCGAGAGUAAGCUAAUCUCUUAAAGCCAUUCUCAGUUCGGAUUGUAGGCUGCAACUCGCCUACAUGAAGUCGGAAUCGCUAGUAAUCGCGGAUCAGCAUGCCGCGGUGAAUACGUUCCCGGGCCUUGUACACACCGCCCGUCACACCAUGAGAGUUUGUAACACCCAAAGUCGGUGCCGCCUAAGGUGGGACAGAUGAUUAGGGUGAAGUCGUAACAAGGUAACCGUAAACGAAUCUGCAGAUAUCCAUC
rnacentral:rRNA from 1 species